rnacentral:rRNA from 1 species
UGGGGAAUAUUGGACAAUGGGCGCAAGCCUGAUCCAGCAAUGCCGCGUGUGUGAAGAAGGUCUUCGGAUUGUAAAGCACUUUCGGCGGGGACGAUGAUGACGGUACCCGCAGAAGAAGCCCCGGCUAACUUCGUGCCAGCAGCCGCGGUAAUACGAAGGGGCCAGCGUUGCUCGGAAUGACUGGGCGUAAAGGGCGCGUAGGCGGUUGUCACAGUCGGGUGUGAAAUUCCUGGGCUUAACCUGGGGACUGCAGUCGAGACGCGGUGGCUUGAGUGGGGAAGAGGGUCGUGGAAUUCCCAGUGUAGAGGUGAAAUUCGUAGAUAUUGGGAAGAACACCGGUGGCGAAGGCGGCGACCUGGUCCUUUACUGACGCUGAGGCGCGAAAGCGUGGGGAGCAAAC